rnacentral:tRNA from 1 species
GGCCCCGUGGCGGAAUGGCAGACGCAGUCGACUUAAAAUCGACGGCCCGCGAGGGCGUGAGGGUUCGACCCCCUCCGGGGCCA